AUGGCCACAUUACCUUGAAACACUGGUUCCCCAUACAAUCCCCAAAGUUAAGUAACAUCAAGUCUGGUCAGUACCUAGAUGGGUGACCACUUGGGAAUAUCAGGUGCUGUAAG